AAGUCGUAACAAGGUUUCCGUAGGUGAACCUGCGGAAGGAUCAUUAAUGCUCUAAGUGAUGAGUCCUCGACUCACACUUUGUCCAAUCUCUAAAACGCUCGAAUUUUUUUCUCGUUCAGAGAAAAAAUCUCGACGUCACAAGCAACCGAAGGACUUUUCUCUUUUGACAAAAAAGAGGAAUGUUCCUUUCACCCUUUUUAUACCAUCAUUACACUCUUUUCUAAACUACUUAGACUGAUAUCAAUCACAUUUUUUCUUGAUAAAAUGUCAAAACAACUCUUAGCAAUGGAUAUCUAGGCUCUC
rnacentral:misc_RNA from 1 species